AUUGAACGCUGGCGGCAGGCCUAACACAUGCAAGUCGAACGAGUGGCGGACGGGUGAGUAAUGUCUGGGACACUGCGUGAUGGAGGGGGAUAACUACUGGAAACGAUAGCUAAUAACGCCUACCAUCAGAUGUGCCCAAAUGGGUUUAGCUUGUUGGUGGGGUACCGGCUCACCAAGCCGACGAUCCCUAGCUGGUCUGAGAGGAUGACCAGCCAAACUGGAACUGAGACACGGUCCAGACGCCUACGGGAGGCAGCAGUGGGGAAUAUUGCACAAUGGGCGCAAGCCUGAUGCAGCCAUGCCGCGUGUAUGAAGAAGGCCUUCGGGUUGUAAAGUACUUUCAGCGGGGAGGCGUUACCCGCAGAAGAAGCACCGGCUAACUCCGUGCCAGCCGCCGCGGUAAUUC
rnacentral:rRNA from 1 species